UAGGGAAUCUUCCGCAAUGGGCGAAAGCCUGACGGAGCAACGCCGCGUGAGUGAUGAAGGUCUUAGGAUCGUAAAACUCUGUUAUUAGGGAAGAACAAACGUGUAAGUAACUGUGCACGUCUUGACGGUACCUAAUCAGAAAGCCACGGCUAACUACGUGCCAGCAGCCGCGGUAAUACGUAGGUGGCAAGCGUUAUCCGGAAUUAUUGGGCGUAAAGCGCGCUUAGGCGGUUUUUUAAGUCUGAUGUGAAAGCCCACGGCUCAACCGUGGAGGGUCAUUGGAAACUGGAAAACUUGAGUGCAGAAGAGGAAAGUGGAAUUCCAUGUGUAGCGGUGAAAUGCGCAGAGAUAUGGAGGAACACCAGUGGCGAAGGCGACUUUCUGGUCUGUAACUGACGCUGAUGUGCGAAAGCGUGGGGAUCAAACA
rnacentral:rRNA from 1 species